GGGAUAGGGGGAUAAAAAUCAAUCCUUUAAACAUAUCUAUAAAAUAUUGAUUUUAAUAUUGACUUUUAAACCAAUUUUCCUUCAAAAUAAUUUAAUCACCAAUCUUUGUAACAAAAUUCUUUUAUAACCUUUAAUCAUAAAUUUUUAUGGGCAUAUACCUAUAGUUAAGCAAUUCAAUUUUCAAAUUACAAUACAGAGAUAAUGUUCAUGCUAAUAUUCAACAAAUAUUUCCACAUAACAAGAAAGUUAAGAAACCCAAGCUUCUUCCAUUUUUCUAAAAAGAGUUAUCUCUCUUCUCAAUAGAUUUUCAUGGCAAAUUAUUUGCAAGUUAAUCACUUCAAAACCUUUUAUUAUUGAAAUAUUCAGUGACAACUAAAUAAACUUUAAAAGUUUGAUUAUAAUUCAUUUUGCUCUUAUACAAAGACCAGAAAGUAUGUCCUUCCUUUUAGUGAAUAAUUAAAGUCAACAUUAUUUACCUGCAUGUACACAUAAAAUUUUAUAGGACUUGCACGAUUGAAAAACAUAUACCAAGUUUGGAGAUGGUAACCCAUCAUUAUAUUAUUAAUGUAAUAUAAGUGAAAAAAAAUUAUAUGAACUAUUUAUUAUUUGUCCUUAUAUAAUUAUUAUCCAUAAAUGAUUUCUGAGCAACAGUUCAUAAUCUCUUUGUUGCAAGUAACACUUAUCAAAGAGAUGUUACACAAAUUAUAUAGUUUAUAAUAAAUAACAAAUAAGGUCCUUUAACUUCAUUAUUGUUAAUAAUACAUAUGCAAAAUACUGUAUUUAAAAUACACUUAGACUAAUUAAACCUGAUGUUUUUAUGAUCAAAUAUUUUUAUUUUCCAUUGUCUUUGUCUGCGAUAUAUGAGCCUAUAAACGCUUUAAGGAAUAAGGAAUCAUUCCCAAGUUUGAAUAUUAUGAGGUGAUAAUUUUGGUUGGGCGUGAUCAAAUCCCAAAGACCUUUACGCCCUGACCAAAAUCAUCACUUAAAUCAAUGAUCGCUACCUUCAUAACCCACAUGAAUCACCAAAAGUGAGCAUUUGAUUGUUUACAUUAACAUCUUUAUUUUAACUAAUUAAUAAAUUGAGCGUAAAAAGUAGAUAAAAUUCACUAAAUUACUGUUAAUGUACAUAAGUACGUUAGCUAAAAGAAACAGCCAAAUCGUCUCCAGUGAGACUUUGAGUCUGACAUCAUCAUGGUUAGUUCGUGCAGUCCGUGAUUUUUCUUAGGUAGUUGUAGGUCUCGACCAAAUGAUAAACAGGGCGUGUCAAAUUCAAUCCUGUCACUUUCUUGUCAGUUUCAGCCGCCGUAGAUUUUGACCAAUCAAUAAACGGGGCGUGUAGAUUUCAGUCUGGCUGUUCUAUAGAGUUAUGAAUUAACUAUAUGCUUCCGUAAGAAAUAGAGGGAAUAAUACUUGGUGGAUGUAAAUAUAGUGUUAUCACCGGCAAAGACAUUGAAAAAUGUAAUUUAAAUAUCAUUUAAUAGUUCAAUACAUUUCAUCAAUGACGUAAAUAAAGUAAAUUGGGGGGACAAGCAGAAAUUCCAUGAUUUUAUACAAUGAAAAUAUGUUAACAUAACGUUAAAUAUGUAAAUUUUUUAUUACUGUAGUUUCAUUCAUUUUCGUGGGUAUCAGUUUUCGUGGAUUUUCUGAAAACCUAAAUUCGUGGCCAAUGAUCCUAUCAAUACAAAUUGUUAGUUAAAAUUGAACUUCAAUGAACAUUUAAUUUCGUGGACCAACUUAUAACAACGAAAUCCACGAAAAUUGGUAUUCAACGAAUAUUGAUGAAACCACAGUAAUAAAUAUUAAAUUCAGCAAUUGUUGAUAUAUUUAUUAGAACUAGGAUUUUUUAAGAAUCGUUCUUUGAAUAUUAUAAGGCGAUCAAAUACAAUAAGGUGUGAUCAAAUCUAUCAAUAAGCCCUUUGGGCUUCAUUGAUUGGAUUUUAUCACAAAUGAUCGUAUUUGAUCUCUACAUAACGUUAAUACUCAAAUAUUGAUUUCUUAUUCCUUAAAUAAUGAUAAUCUAACCAGUGAAAAUAGACUUUCUGCAUAUAUUAAUGAUUUUGUUUAGAAUUACAUAUAUGUAUAUUUUGAGAAAGAAUAUAUGUAAUGCACUUUUUUACGGAAUGACUGAGGUCUAUCAAUGGCAUACACGGAUCUAUCGAAGCCGUAACAUUUCUUACAGCUGUACGGUGACGACACGUCAGUUAGGCCUAACGUUAUAUAUAGCCUAACUGUAUACGGCGUGUCACUAUCGCGCAUUUUACAUUAGGCUUAUUUCUUCACAACUUUUUUUAUCAUGAUCUUUUGAUUUAAAUUACGCAAAAAUAAGUGUGUCGUGAAUAUUAGAUGAUCAGUCCUCUUCCAUUUCGCAUAACGAAUGUCUGCUUCGCUGAUAGUACGGAGGGAAACAUGUCGUCAUCAAUCCAGUUAGGACUAGUUUCACCUAAGGGAAAAUUUCAAAACCCAUUUUUUCUCGUACCCAACAGAUUAUUGUCGUUUCUGCUUUGGUGAAAACAUGAACUGAAUUAAUAGGUAUAAUUAAUUUUACAACCACAUAUACAUAUACAUGUAUAUAUAGGAAUAUGAAGUAAAUCGAUCAAAAUUGAGCAAAUUUCGGGCUGCUACGGUACACUUGCACUAAAGAGAGUCAACGUAAAUCUCAAUAUCUGAUGAUGAUGAUGAUGACGAUCGAGAUAUCAUCAUGAUGAUGACGGUGAUGAUUUCUAUGCGAAUAUUUCGAACAUUUGCACGGAUACGACAUCGAGACAAAUCAGAAAAGUCUCGUGCAUUAAAUAAAGUAUGUUGAAAAAAUAUAAAGGUUUAAUUAACUUUUUACAAAUCAUCUGUAAAUUCAAAAAUUAUCACCCUUUGCGCUUAUAUCUUAUAGUAUACAAAAUAUCCCGCUGAUUGUCGAUAAAUUGUUUCAAGGAUAGAUUUGCCACGUGGUCACCAAGCAUGUUUCAUGACGGGUUCGGGCCUUGAUAAUGUGCAUAAUUCAAUGCACCUUUGGCUUAAAACCACAUCCUGUGAAAUUUCUCUUCAUAUCAAUUUCUAAGAACAAAAAUUAAAAUGUCAGAUUUAUUACAUUAUUAAAAUUCAAAAGUUGACACCACCGUCUCUCAGUAUCAUCGCAACUCUAAAAAUAACCCGUGCAGGGCCUCUCUGCAAUAAAAAUAUAUCACGUGACGUUAAAGAAAGGGGUCGACUCAAGAUCGCCAAAUACAAUGGUCGACAACAUCGACGUCUAUGCCGAAAGCUUUGUGUUGAUACCGAUACAAACAAAGGGAAAUUUAUGUAAUCCAAAUAUGAUUCAUAAAGACGGAUAGCAUGUUAAGCACAGGAUUCAAACGUAUAUACAGAGUUUUCGUGGUUGUCGUCGAACGACAGAAUCCAAAAUGGCCACCUAGCCCUUAACGCAUGCGUGUGGAAUAAUAUGCAAAUAGCUAUUCUAACCAAUGAAAAGCUGGUGCUGUAGGCUAUAUCCCCUCGCCCUGUUGCAACAUAUUAUUUUCUAUGAGUAAUGCAGGGGUGAUAUCAAAGUACGAUAUUCAAAUAUCAUGGUUAUACCAGCUAUUGAGUUGUUCCCUAAAAUAUGACGAAUGGAAAAUUUUGUUGUUGAUCGCUUUGAGAGGCCACGAUGGGGAACAAAAUGGUGGAAAACGGAAAUGGAAGAAAAAGAUUUUGAUAGCGUUUCAGUUCAAUAAUUUUAACAGGUCCUAUCAUUUUGACCACACUGAAAAGUGCAUUUUAAUUUGUCAACCUGUAACACCUCUAUCUAAAACCUGAUCAGAAUAAGCUACACACGAGGUCGCAAACGACAGAGACACGCGUACAUUUGGAAAACGUUCUGAAUGAGCUAACACGAGAUGACACGGGUGCAUUCGAAACAGAAAUUUCAAUUGAUAAUCAUACCUCUUCCACGAUUGAUAUAUAUUAUACAAGUAUGAAGUAUGAUUGGCAAAAACGCGAUAUUUAUGACACGCACUGCGUUUACUGAUGGGCAUCUUGUAAAGCACAGUAAAUGUCGAAAAUUUGCCCAGUUGAUCUCGUGUUGUUUCACAUUGAUACUGAAUCUGUCCAGUGCAUCCAGAACGAUUAAAAGAUAAAUGUGUAUGUACAUUAUUCGUAUGAUACAGUGGAUUUUUUUCCCACCGCACGUUAAAAUAAACCUAUCGAAUACACAGAUACAUGUGUAUGUACAUGUACAUUUUUCGUACGAUACAGUGGAGUUUUUUUUCCACCGCACGUUAAAAUAAACCUAUCGAAUACACACACUUUUUGGGAGGGGGCAGGGGCACUUAAUCAUGCACAUACACUUUAAAGACGAUUCCUUCAUUAGUAGCAAUAAAUUAGAUCUGUAGAAUCUUACCAGAGACAUAAAAACAUUAUAACGUUAUGUAUGUUUCCGAUCUUAUUUCGCACUAAAAUUCUAUCAUUUAGUUACACGACAAACACCGGCGAAUACGCUCCUGUCAGGCUAGCUGCAGGUCUGUAGCUCCCCCUCGAAAAAAAAUAUUGGACGGACGACUUUGAAGCUACAGUUCCGUACAUAUCUACGUCGAAUUUUCCCAAACCGAGAGCUAUAUACAGACAUGUAGCUACUGUCGGGCGCGUGGACUGGUUUUGAAAUCAUUCAAGAAACUUAUGUUUUUCCAAUUACACAUGUAUAUUUAGAAAAAUGGACAUUGUGUAUCAAGUCGCAAUGCGUUGAGUUCGUUUCCUACUCUGUCAUCUUGAUUGGGAAAGCACCAUGAAAAAAAAUUUGGAAAAGGUGUAUUGAAUAGGA